GAUCCUGGCUCAGGAUGAACGCUAGCGGCAGGCUUAACACAUGCAAGUCGAGGGGCGAGCGCGGGAUAGCAAUAUCCUGGCGGCGACCGGCGGAAGGGUGCGUAACGCGUGAGCGACAUGCCCGUUGCCCGGGGACAACCGGUGGAAACGCCGACUAAUCCCCGAUGGGAUACUUGUGCCGUCAUGGCACGAUAUUGAAAGUUACGGCGGCGACGGAUUGGCUCGCGUCCGAUUAGCUUGUUGG
rnacentral:rRNA from 1 species